AACAACAAUGACAAUUAAAAUACUAGAAUAGGGAAUACGCAAACUCUAGUACUAAUAAUAUUAAUAGUAAUAAUAAUAAUAGAAAAGAGAAAGAAAUUAAAAACAAACAUAGAGUGAAAAUAAUAAAAAUGAAAACCACUAAAAAAAAAGAAAAAGAUUAAAGAUCGUGGAUUGUCUUCCACUUAGCGCUUCGUUUAAUGUUGGGAGCUCGACUACCGAACUUGUAAAUUAGUUUUCCAAGGCCACUUAUCGAGCCAUCUUUCAUAUCC
rnacentral:lncRNA from 1 species